rfam:Ixodes scapularis strain Wikel colony gcontig_1108379401474, whole genome shotgun sequence.
GACCUGCUAGCUCAGUCGGUUAGAGCGUCGUGCUAACAACGCGAAGGUCACAAGUUUGAUCCCUGUGCAGGCCA